CAAGGAAGCAGGCUGGAAGCAGGGACACGUGGCUCUAGGGCUGGAUGGGUCAAGACCAGCCCUGCUGGAGAUGGGACAAAGUGCCCCAUGGCUCAUGGCAUGAGAUCAGCCUCCGUGCCUCGCCUGUGGCCACACGCACUGAUGGCAGAGCAGAGACAGAAACCUGGAUCCAGAAGUCCAGAGGGCUGAGAUGUGGCCAGCUUUUGAGGCUUUGGAGAAGGCAGUCUUGUUUUAACUCAGCUUGUGAUUUCAGGGCAUGUUCAAGAAGCGGUUUGCAAAUCCAGAGUGGCUUCUAACAGCACCCCGGGCCUUUGAUCUCUGACUCUUGCAGAGAAGAACUUCAGAACCUGUGAAAGCUGAGAGAAACCACCCCUGUCGCUACCUGGUGCUCACCAGCUUCACCAGCAGAGUUGCCCCAGGAGCUUGGUGAUGAAAAAUAAAAAAGAAAACCAACAAAACAGGAAGGAAAACAGUGAAAACUCUGAUGCUCCUUGGGGAAUAUGAAGAGACACAGAUUUCAUUUAAGAUAACAAAAAAAAAAAAAAAAAGAGAAGAAAUAAAAACAAAAACACCACCACCACCAACAGAAAGCAGCAGAAGUACCAAGAGUCGGAUGGGUGAAUGCUGCUCUUCAGAGCAGUCCCUGCAAUGGGGACUCCCCAGCCGUGAGGUCCCCAGCUCCCGCAGCAGCUCGGCAGCUCCCUCCCCUCCUCCACUUCUGCACUACGAUUCAUAUGGUGACUGCUGCAGUAAAAUCAGGAGCAAUGAAGACUAUAUAUAAAAGGGCUGGAGUAAAGGCAAGUGGCACCUCAAUUCUACUUCUGAGUAAGCCUUUUGUUUUUAGCAAAACAGGCACAUCAGUGCUGCUCCAGCCAGCCACAG
rnacentral:lncRNA from 1 species